rnacentral:rRNA from 1 species
AGACGUAGGGGGCGAGCGUUAAUCGGAAUUACUGGGCGUAAAGCGCGCGUAGGCGGUUGGAUAAGUCGGAUGUGAAAGCCCCGGGCUCAACCUGGGAAUUGCAUUCGAAACUGUCCGGCUAGAGUAUGGUAGAGGGAAGCGGAAUUCCACAUGUAGCGGUGAAAUGCGUAGAUAUGUGGAGGAACACCAGUGGCGAAGGCGGCUUCCUGGACCAAUACUGACGCUGAGGUGCGAAAGCGUGGGGAGCAAACAGGAUUAGAUACCCUAGUAGUCC